UUACGGCCAUAUCACAUUGAAACACCGGUUCUCGUACGAUCACCGAAGUUAAGCAACAUCGAACCUGGUCAGUACUAAGAUAAGUAACUGCUUGAGAAUUCCAGCUGCUGUAAG